rnacentral:pre_miRNA from 1 species
AUCACCUAGGGAUCUUGUUAAAAUGUGAACUCUGAUUCAAUGAGUCUAGAGCGGGCCUGAGAUCUGGCAUUUCUAGCAAGCUCCAAAGUGAUGUUGA